UGCGUAGGUGGCCAUUUAAGUCUUUGGUGUAAGUUCAGCGCUCAACGCUGUGAUGCUAAAGAAACUGGGAGGCUUGAGUGUGGUAGAGGCAAGUGGAAUUCCAUGUGUAGCGGUAAAAUGCGUAAAUAUAUGGAGGAACACCGGUGGCGAAGGCGGCUUGCUGGGCCACAACUGACACUGAGGCACGAAAGCGUGGGGAGCAAACA
rnacentral:rRNA from 1 species